rnacentral:rRNA from 1 species
AUACGUAGGGAGCGAGCAUUGUCCGGAAUUACUGGGUGUAAAGGGAGCGUAGGCGGGAGUGCAAGUCAGAUGUGAAAUACAUGGGCUCAACCCAUGGGCUGCAUUUGAAACUGCAUUUCUUGAGUGAAGUAGAGGUAAGCGGAAUUCCUGGUGUAGCGGUGAAAUGCGUAGAUAUAAGGAAGAACACCAGUGGCGAAGGCGGAUUACUGGACGACAACUGACGGUGAGGCGCGAAAGCGUGGGGAGCAAACAGGAUUAGAUACCCUGGUAGUCCACGCUGUAAACGAUGAUUACUAGGUGUGGGGGGACUGACCCCUUCCGUGCCGCAGUUAACACAAUAAGUAAUCCACCUGGGGAGUACGGCCGCAAGGUUGAAACUUAAAGGAAUUGACGGGG